ACCUAGCCGCCGAAAAAUCCCCUUCCCCCAAACCCAGCAGCCACACCCCUACCUGUUUCUCUCUCACCCUCUAAGCGAUUCCACACACACAGAAGCAUGAAAGAAAGAAACGGGAAACCAGAAAUGGAGACUGGGCCAGAAGGAGAGAAGGAGAGGGGGAAGGGCUUAGUGCCGCCGGCUGGGUACUGCCGCGGUGAUCGCCGGACUGCCGCACGCAAGGGGCGUCGCCAUCGAAGCUGCCUCGUUCAUCCCUGCCCAGUCGCAGUUCUGCCACCCAUCACCCUAUUCCGUCGCUGGAGAUCUCGGAGCCGCUGCUCGUUGCGCCGUCCUUGUUGCCGCCACUGCUUCCAUGUCUUCCAACGGCGCUGCUAUCGCCACCGUGAGUCGCGGCCAGAGAGGAAGCGUUACAGCAAUUGAAUCCCGAGAGGGACAUGUUCACGAGACGGGAGAGAGAGAGAGAGCUGCGGGGAGAGGGAGGCCGUGCGUCCUGUCGCGCGCGUCACUGCCCAAGUACCGCCACUGAUCCGUGCUGCGCGAAGCUAACGCCGCCGUUCCUGCCGCCGUUAGCACCGCCGGCGUUCCGGCCAUCACCGUCGUUGAGGGAACUCACCGGAGUUGUUAGAGGUUGUCACUGCUCUUUGUGGUUCUGUGUUGAGUUGCGCUGGUAAGCCUUUGCGGCCGGAAAAUUAUGCGGUUGAUCCACUGGAGCUUCUGGCCGCCGCCGGAGCUGUUGCUGGGGCCGGUUCAAAAUCGCAGCUGCUUCGUGUUUUUAUUCCGUGGCUGGGAGCUGAGGUUUUGGUUGCCGGUGAUUACGAGUUGAGGCAGAAAGGACUCUAUGAGACGUUUGGGUUAUGAAUUUGCGUUUUGAGGAUAUGGGCGCAGAAGUCACGAAGAGUUUAUUUAGUUGUUGUGGAAAUGCUCUGUGUUGCUUUAGAUUAUUAUUUAAUGUACUCUCGCCUUUAUCUUGAUAUAUUCUGUAAGAGGAAUAGAAAUUGUAUUGGGUAAUUGAUAAACCACUAUUUUAUGGUUUAUCUUGUGCUUAAUUGAGUGGAUUUUAUCAACUCUUUACCCACUUAUUCAUACUAUUUGCAUGGUUUUACAUUUACCUUCCUAAUUAUGUGCUUUGAUUGAAAACAUGCUUCUUUAGCUUUAAGUUCCCUAUGUUUAAUCCUCUCUUAUUACCAUUAGAUGCCUUGAUAUGUGUGUUAAAGUGUUUUUAGAUAUUAUAGGGCAGGAAUGGCUCAGAGGAUGGAAAGGAAGAAUGCAAAAAUGGAAGGAAUACAAUAAGUUGGAGAAACUGCUAAGCUAUCCAGCCUGACCUCUUCACACUCAAACAACUAUAACUUUAGCUAAAGAGAUCCAAACGAAGCGGUUUCAGUUGCGUUGGAAAGCUAACGUCCGGGGCUUCGAUUUGAUAUAUAAUAUGCCAGAGUUGCCCUGAUGCUAGGUGACGCGAACGCGUGAUUCAUGCGGAUGCAUCGUAUCUGCGAACUUCAACCCGCGCGACCGCGUGGGCAACGCCUCCGCGUCACUUGGCCGCGACCUGUACGGACCAGAAAGCACUGGAAGUGACUUCUGGGCUGUUUCUGACCCAGUUUUCGGCCCAGAGAACACAGAUUAGAUGCUAUAAAGUGGGGGAAUGCAUCCAUUCAUGAUCAUGCUUUCAUAAUUCACUUUCCAUGAUUUAGGUUUAGUUGGAGAGGGGUUCUCUCCUCUCUCUUUAGGAUUAGGAUUUAGGACUUCUCUUAGUUUUAGGAGUGACUCUCGAUCCCAGGUUCAAUGGUCUUUUACUUUAUAUUUAUCUCUUAUUCUCAGAUACUUUAAUGCUUAUAUUAGUUAUGUUGCCUAUUUGGCUUAUGCCACAUUCAUGAUGAUUUCCUUAUUUAAUGUU